rnacentral:rRNA from 1 species
GACAGAGGGUGCAAACGUUGUUCGGAAUUACUGGGCGUAAAGCGCGUGUAGGCGGUUGUUCAAGUCGGGUGUGAAAGCCUUGAGCUCAACUCAAGAAAUGCACUCGAUACUGGAUGACUUGAGGACCGGAGAGGAUAGUGGAAUUCCCAGUGUAGUGGUGAAAUACGUAGAGAUUGGGAAGAACACCAGUGGCGAAGGCGGCUAUCUGGACGGUUUCUGACGCUAAGACGCGAAAGCGUGGGGAGCAAACAGG